rnacentral:rRNA from 1 species
UACGUAGGGUGCAAGCGUUGUCCGGAAUUAUUGGGCGUAAAGCGUGCGUAGGCGGUUCGUUAAGUCAGCUGUGAAAGCCCCGGGCUCAACCUGGGAACUGCGGUUGAAACUGGCGAACUAGAAUCUGGCAGAGGGGGGUGGAAUUCCACGUGUAGCAGUGAAAUGCGUAGAGAUGUGGAGGAACACCGAUGGCGAAGGCAGCCCCCUGGGCUGAGAUUGACGCUCAGGCACGAAAGCGUGGGGAGCAAACAGG